GGGAGCUUAUUUUAGUGGUAGAAUAUCGCUCUCCAAAAGCGAUGGCGGGGGUUCGAUUCCCUCAGCUCCUG
rnacentral:tRNA from 7 species